AAGGAUCAUUACCGAGCUCGGGUCCCCAGGGCCCCAUCUCCAACCCGUGUCUACCCUACCACGUUGCUUUGGCGGGCCCGUCCUCGACCGGACCGCCGGGGGCAUCUCCCCCGGUCCGCGCCCGCCAGUAGCCCCGACAAAUCCGCCCAAGAGUGCCGUCUGAGUCGGAACACGAAUAACCAAAACUUUCAACAACGGAUCUCUUGGUUCUGGCAUCGAUGAAGAACGCAGCGAAAUGCGAUAAGUAAUGCGAAUUGCAGAAUUCCGUGAGUCAUCGAAUCUUUGAACGCACAUUGCGCCCUUUGGCAUUCCGAAGGGCAUGCCUGUUCGAGCGUCAUUAUCAACCCUCAAGCCCGGCUUGCGGUUGGGUCCCGCCGCGGGCGGCCACGGCGGACCCGAAAGGAAAUGGCGGUGCCCGUGGGGCCCCUGGAUGCAACGAGCUUCUCCAGCACGCGUCUGGGCGGUCUUCCGGCUCGGUCUUAACCGAUGAAUCUUCUCUAAGGUUGACCUCGGAUCAGGUAGGGAUACCCGCUGAACUUAA
rnacentral:rRNA from 1 species